rnacentral:lncRNA from 1 species
UCGGCAGAGAAAAUGUAUAAAGUAAUAUAAUAAUAUAAAACAAAGGCAAAGUCACAAUUAACAACAAAUACUAAUAAUAUUAUAAAAAACUUAACACAACCCCAACGAUAUGAAAAUAAUGUAACAAUUUAGUAUGAACAUGAAGACAAAACAGUGACUAAACACGGAUGGUCGGAGUUACCGAUUUUGAGGGAGAAUCGAAGCUUGAAGCUCAUUGCAGGCCUAAGGUUUCACGGGUUUCGCCGGAGUUGUAGUGUUCCGGUCGCUCAUUUGCGUGUGAUUAUGUUCGCCGGAUCUCGCGAGCUUUCGAGCUCGCCGUUUAACUGAGCGUUGAGCUCACUGACUACUUGUUUAGGGGGUCUGGUUGCUGGAAAAAAUGGGGAAUGGAGAUGGGGUUUGGUUCGUCGGAGUGAAACUCGCUGAUAACCUGCAAAAGUAGAAAAGAAAUCGUGAAGGGGGAAGAGGAAAGGGUCUGGUUCGAUCUCCAACAGUGAGCUGGUGGAGCUCGUUUGGUCGUGCGAGUUAGGAGCACGUGUGGGUGUUGCGAUUUCGCCGGAGAGGUUUAGCCGUUGUUGUUUGCUGGGUUUAGGGGGUUCGAUUUCACCGGAAAUGGCGAAGGUGAUAGGGAAACGAGCGGUGGUCCAGAUUUGGUUUUGCCAGAAAUGGCGUUGUUCUUGUGGUGGUUAGAGAGCUGUUGUAUGAGAAAAG